UACCUUGCAUAAGGAUGAUAUCGACUACUCCCACUAUAGCCUCCCCUUCCAUACAAACCACCUGCUCCACCAUAACUAGCACCAGGACCAGAGUCGUAACCUCCACCAUAACCUGAACUUCCAUAGCUCCCAUAUCCAUCAACCCCUCGUCCAUAUCCUCCUAAGCCACUCGUGCCAUAUCCCCCACCAAACCCACCACUGUAAGGUCCAAAUCGACUAGAAUAACCAAGGGAUGAAUCACCUCGGUAGCCACCUAAGCUAUUGCCUCCAAACCCUCCAUAACCACCACCAAAAUCACCACCACUACC
rnacentral:lncRNA from 1 species